CCGCAAUGCACGAAAGUGUGACGGAGCGACGCCGCGUGGAGGAGAAGCCCUUCGGGGUGUAAACUCCUGUCAGGGGUUACCAAGUUCUGAGGAGCCCCAGAGGAAGGCACGGCUAACUCUGUGCCAGCAGCCGCGGUAAGACAGAGGUGCCGAGCGUUAGGCGGAAUCACUGGGCUUAAAGCGUGUGUAGGCGGAGUGCUAAGUACCUUGUGAAAUCCCACGGCUCAACCGUGGAACUGCUUGGUAUACUGGUUCUCUUGAGCCACUUAGGGGCAACCGGAACAAACGGUGGAGCGGUGAAAUGCGUAGAUAUCGUUUGGAACGCCAAUGGUGAAAACAGGUUGCUGGGAGUGUGCUGACGCUGAGACACGAAAGCCAGGGGAGCGAACGGGAUUAGAUACCCCGGUAGUCCUGGCCGUAAACGAUGUCGACUAGAUCGUAGUGCCUCUGACGGUGUUACGGUCGAAGCAAAAGUGCUAAGUCGACCGCCUGGGAAGUACGGUCGCAAGGCUA
rnacentral:rRNA from 1 species